GACGAACGCUGGCGGCGUGCUUAACACAUGCAAGUCGAGCGGUAAGGCCCUUUCGGGGGUACACGAGCGGCGAACGGGUGAGUAACACGUGGGUGACCUGCCCUUAGCUCUGGGAUAAGCCUGGGAAACUGGGUCUAAUACCGGAUAUGACUCCAUAACGCAUGUUGUGGGGUGGAAAGCCUUGUGCGGCUAGGGAUGGGCCCGCGGCCUAUCAGCUUGUUGGGUGGGGUGAU
rnacentral:rRNA from 1 species